AGCGGCCUGCACAUCCCGACAAGCCUAGCGUCCCUGGCGACACAGCAGUCAAACACUGCGCCUAGUGGACAGCUUUGCGAUGAUUGUGUAACAUUCCGGAAAGUACAGGGGCCGGGCUGUCCCUGGCAGUAAAGACAUCUGUACCCCAAUCCCGCUGGGACUGCACUUCCCCGGUUCACGCCGUCAGCCAACCCUCAGCGACCACUGUCAGGAGUUCCCAGCAUGCCUUGUAGUCGCAUGGUUGUCCAGGGGUCCAGUCCCAAAAGAGGAAAAAAGAUACCGGGCCUGUCCCAUUUCCAGUGCCAGCUGUCAGUGGCAACUGAGGCCUUGUGGGGCAAGGGGAAAGGUGACAGCAUCACCAGCUGCAAACACACCUGGGACAUUGGUCUGCAUCAUCUGUGGAGAAAAUGCCAAG